GAUGAAGAACGUAGCGAAAUGCGAUAAGUAAUGUGAAUUCCAGAAUUCAGUGAAUCAUCGAAUCUUUGAACGCACAUUGCACUCAUUAGUACUCUAGUGAGUAUGCCUGUUCGAGCGUCAUUUCAACCCUUAAGCCUAGCUUAGUGUUGGGACUCUACCCUAACCGGUAGUUCCCCAAAAUCAGUUGGCGGAGUUCAGUCGGCUCUGAGUGUAGUAAUUUUCUCUCGCUUUAGAAGUCUUCUGGAUUACGGCCAGAAAGAGACGAGUCUCGCAUCUCGGUGCGUUUCUCAACUUUUUUUUACAAUGGUUGACCUCGGAUCAGGUAGGAAUACCCGCUGAACUUAAGCAUAUCAAUAAGCGGAGGA
rnacentral:misc_RNA from 1 species